rnacentral:lncRNA from 1 species
GGAAGCGUUGGGAAAUCGAAGGAGGCAUGCGAUGCAUGAGAAAGACUUUCACUUCUGUUCCCUCUUCCUGGCUCCCCGGACCAAACAUGCACCCCCUUUCCUGUGUUCUCCCUGCCGUCCGCCUGGCCUCACCCUGUCCGCGGUAGGUAAGACUCAAAACAGCCUCUGCCUGCGGCAGAAUUCGACCUCCUCUCGGUUGCAUAUCAGCCGUGCACGUGUUACUUGCAUUAGCAGACGGCAGGGGAGCAAAUGCGGCGGUGAAAUGCGGGCAGAUGUGAGCUCAUGUCUCUCCCAGGCCUUUUCUCUUCCAGAUGAGAAGACGGAAGCCCAGAAAGGCACACUGAUUCUCCAACAUCACACAGCUAAACAGCAGCUCUCUGAUCUCCUUGAGCCCACCAGGCAGCCCUCUGAUGCGUUAAAAGGACACAGCCUGGAGAAGGAUGCACCCCAAAUAACGAUCAGGGCAUGUGGAAAUUCCCAGUCCAAGCAACUCAAGCUGCUGCAGGGACAAUGCCAGAUCCUUAACCCUCUGCACCACAAGGGAACUCCUUAAAUUUCUUAAAAUAAGCAGGAAAAACUUCUAUACGUAAAUUCUUUUUUUUUUCUUUUUUUGCUUUUUAGGGCCACACCCGAGGCAUGUGGAGGUUCCCAGGCUAGGGGUCCAAUUGGAGCUACAGCUGCUGGCCCACACCACAGCCACAGCAAUGUCACAUCCAAGCCACGUCUGCAACCUACACCACAGCUCACAGCAAUGCCUGAUCCUUAACCCACUGAGCAAGGCCAGGGCUCGUACCUGUGUCCUCAUGCUAGUCAGAUUAGUUUCCACUGAGCCACAACGAGAACACCAGCCUGUAACAGCUUUGACCACCGUUUAUGUCCCAGUGGGUUUAACAGUAUCUGGAUACAGUAAAUGCUCGGUUAUAUAAGAUGAGAUACAUAAUGAAAGAAUCACUGGUAUAUGUACCAUUUUAUGUGAGCUAAGAUGGAGAACUUUUUAUUUACCAGAAUUGCACAGUAUUUGGUGUGUGUAGGGGGGCUGCUGUUGAACUACUUGAAGUGAGGUGUUCCUGUUGUGGCACAGUGGAAACAAAUCCAACUAGUAUCCAUGAGGAUGUGGGUUCGAUCCCUGGCCUUGCUCAGUUAAAAAGAAAAAAAAAAAUCUUCUUGGGGAAAUAACAAUUAAAAAAAAAGAAAAAAAUUUUUUUUAAUUCUUGGCGUUCCCCAGUGGCACAGCAGGUUAAGUAUCAAGUGUUGUCACUGCAGUGGCUUGGGUUGCUGCUGUGGUGUGAGUUUAGUCCCUGGCUUGGGAACUUCCAUAUGCCACAGGUGUCGCCAAAAAAAAAUAAUAAUAAUUAAUAGUAAAAAAAUGAAUUAAAAAAACUUCUUGAAAAAAAUCAGACUUUAUUUUUUGGUGGCAUGCAGAAUUUCCUGGGUCAGGGAUCGAACCCAUGCCACAUCAGUGACCUGAGCCACAGCAGUGACAAUUGCCAUAUCCUUAACUACUAGGCCACCAGGGAACACUGAAAAAUGAGACUUUAAAGCCAUAUCUGAUC